rnacentral:rRNA from 1 species
UGCAGUUAAUAGCUGUAUCAUUUGACGUUAGCUGCAGAAGAAGCACCGGCUAACUCCGUGCCAGCAGCCGCGGUAAUACGGAGGGUGCGAGCGUUAAUCGGAAUUACUGGGCGUAAAGACGCAUGCAGGUGGUUUGGUUUAAGUUCAGAUGUGAAAGACCCGGGGCGUCAACCUCGGAAUUGCAUUUGAAACUAGGCAGACUAGAGUACUGUAGAGGGGGGUAGGAAGUUUCAGGUGUAGCGGUGAAAUGCGUAGAGAUCUGAAGGAAUACCGGUGGCGAAGGCGGCCCCCCUCGGACAGAUACUGACACUCAGAUGCGAAAGCGUGGGGAGCAAACAGGAUUAGAUACCCCUGGUAG